GGGCAAAAUGAAAAUGCAGGGGGAGAAGAAUACCUGGCGGAGGUGAUGCUGUUGGUCGAGCGUCCGUGUUGGUGGUGCUGCAGCGGAGGUUGGUGGUUCAAAGCGACGGUUCCCAACAGUCCGGUGCCUCUCGGGUUGUGCUUGGUUUUUUCUUUCCACUAAGCUUUCCCAACGGCUUCAGUCUUCUGCCCCCUUCUCUCAGUUUCGUUUC
rnacentral:lncRNA from 1 species